GACGAACGCUGGCGGCGUGCUUAACACAUGCAAGUGGUGCGACGAACCAGGCUUCGGCCUGGGGCGAAGCCGCGAACGGGUGAGUAACACGUGGGCAAUCUGCCCCUUUGAUCGGGACAACCCGGGGAAACCCGGGCUAAUACCGAAUGAGGUGGCGACUCAUGAGAGUCGUCCCGCAAGGAAGCUUCGGGCGCCGCGACGGGAAGAGCCCGCGGCCCAUUAGCUUGUUGGUGGGGUAAUGGCCUACCAAGGCAACGAUGGGUAGCUGGUCUGAGAGGACGAUCAGCCACACUGGGACUGAGACACGGCCCAGACUCCUACGGGAGGCUGCAGUGGGGAAUCUUGCGCAAUGAGCGACAGCUUGACGCAGCAACGCCGCGUGAGGGAAGAAGGCUUUCGGGUCGUAAACCUCUUUCAGUUAGGACGAAGCUUUAUUGGUUAAUAACCAAUUGGAGUGACGGUACUUUCAGAAGAAGCCCCGGCUAACUACGUGCCAGCCGCCGCCGUAA
rnacentral:rRNA from 1 species